GGUGAUUUCUUCCACCCCAGGAAAGCCACAAUACCCACUUGCAUGAUAGUCAUGCAUUAGCCAUGGUUUUAAACUUGAACCUUUAUUAAAAGUUUGCUUGUUGAAAAGAUGGUUAUCGUUGUUCCGGUGAUGUUUAGAGUUGCAUGUUCACUUUUGUGCUAUGUUGUCUUGUACUCUGUUAUCAUGUUCUACCUGCUAGUAUUACCUUUCAUAUGUUUAUGAUUGCUAGUGGUACAUGUUGAUGUUGGUGAUGGCCAUGCUAGUCAGUAUGCCAUGCUCAGUGGAUAUGAUUUAUUGUUGAUAUGAUGGAUAGUUAUGCGAUACCCUCAUGAUUAUGUUGAGAUCAUGUUCAUGCAUUUUAUCAUGGCUCAGCAUAUUUGCAUUCAAGUUAACCGGAUUAAAUUGAACUUGAACAACUGUUGGCUGAGUCAUGGUGCCACUGAAUCGAUGCUGACCAGUGCAACCACACUUACCGGUAUGGGACGGUCCUAACUGGGUCUAUUGUUCUGCAUCUCGCCGGUGCCUCCAACGAGGGAAGGUUAUGGGCGCGCGCUACCCUGAUCAGGUAGGCGGACAUAAGCCUUGUGUGCCCGUUGUUGAGUUAGUUUUUGGAUCCGGGUCCCAGAGUGGGACGGGCCACGAUGGUGGUCGUUGUGUCUUGAGGUAGACACGAGGCCACCCAUGACUUAUCCCAGAGGGGAGUUGGUCGGAGUGGCCGGGAGAGUGUCAUGGCAGUAGAUCGGUUUUGUCGGAACGUCGUUGGUCCACCCGAAUGGGAGUGCGAGGCCAUGGGUUCUGUAAUGUGGGUACAAUGUACUAACCUCUGCAGAGUGUAUAUUAAAUCUAUCGAUAGCCGCACCCACGGAUAAGGGCCCAUGUCAAAAGUAGGUCACACCAUGAGUCAACGGUAAUAAGAAUAAUGUGCUUAAUAAUAAUGAGAUAAGUUGGUUGUGAUCGCCGUAAGGAUCACGGGCCAUUUAUUGGUCGGGUUGUGAUCGCCGUAAAGAUCACGGGUCAUGUAUUGUUCGGGUUGUGAUCACCGUAAGGAUCAUGGGCCAUGUAUUGGUCGGGUUGUGAUCGCCGUAAGGAUCAUGGGCCAAGUGUUGGUCGGGUUGUGAUCGCCGUAAGGAUCACGGUUGGAGAGCAAGUGUUGGUCGGGUUGUGAUCACCGCAAGGAUCACUAUGGUAUCGAGGUUACCGAGUUGUUGUAUAUUCGUGAUGUUGUGCGAGUAAAUAUCAAGCCCCUUGUGGUCAUUUAAUUAUUACUAUGGUAUAGUUUAUACCAAGCUUGAUUUGAUCCUAAGAUGAUUGUGUGAUGUCCGAGGUCGGUAAGUGAUGCAUGUGAUGGUUACAAGGUAGCCCGAGCAGAAUAAGUGGUGCAUGUAGUGACAUCAUGUUGCAUGAUAGUAUUGUCGGAUUAAUAUGUCCAUGCCAUGUUCAUGUUGUGUUAAAUGUAUCAUGUUCAAGUUGUUCAUGCUAUAUUGUUCUGAUGAUAUCAUGUUAAAUUCUGCCUAACCUGUAAUUGCCAUGCUGUUGUCUGCCUUGAAUGCUUCUGGUUUAUGGUGAGCUUGCAAGUACAUUCAAUGUACUGACCUGGCGUGUCAUGCCUAAAUAUUUGUCCUAAGGAUCUCAUAAACCCCAGGACCGUAGUCCUUGCUACCCUAAGCCUACCAGACAUCAAUUCUACCAUUUACCCUCUCUGGUUUUACCUCUAGGAUGUUGCCAAGUUUGCAACAGUAAUCUUGUGGAGCUCGGUUUACUCAUCUCCCUUUGUCUCUGCCCGCGUGGGACCCGCACGACAGCGUUGAACAGCCCCGGCCCUGCCCCGCCACGUCAGCAUAAGUGGAGACGUAAUCCACCAGAAUGCAUUUUUAGUUUUCUGUCCAGGCCCAUGUUUGAAAGUAUUUUUCUUGCAGAUAGGUCCCUGACAGAAAAUACGCCAUAUCUUUUUAUCGGUAACAACAAACGAGGUGAUUCCAAAGCCUACUUCUUUGUUUCGUCGAGCCCGUUCUAUUCGUUUCAUUUUUACUAUGGUUUGACCCUAUGAAAAUGACAUUUUUGCCCUUGCACGUAAACAGCCCCUUCGAGAGAGAACUGUUUCCGGCAAAUCUUUCCCCAACCCGACCAACUCGUGGCCUGUGAUCCUUACGACAAUCACAACCCGACCAACUCGUGGCCCGUGAUCCUUACGGCGAUCACAACCCGACCAACUCGUGGCCCAACUCAACAUGAUGGCCUUACUGCCAUCCUCAGUACAAACUUAGAUUCCUCAGUAAGACAUUGGUACAAGGCAGUACGCUGUGAAUUGACAGCAUAUGGCAGUGAAUCCCAAGAAUCAGAUCCGCAACAUUUUGGGUCAGAAUCAAGAAUCAGUCAGAAUACACGUCUGUCUCAGAAUCAGGUCCUCAUAUAUAUGCAAUGAGCUUACCACCAAGAACUUACAAGUCACGUGGAUGAGGAUCUAAUAACCACAUGAGGAUGAUUAAGAGAAGAAGGCCAUGCAAGUAGCAGAACAACUCGAAGCAGCGGAAUAACUCUAGCAGCGGAACAACGAUGAAGGUGGUGAACUCCACUCCACAAGGACUCUGGCUGGAACGCUUAUCCUAGCUCGCAUGAACAGAAACCACGACAAGCAAGCAAUCAAAUCCAGCAUGACCUGAAAGCUGGCAUGACACGCCAGGUCAGUACAUUGAAUGUACUUGCAAGCUCACAAAAACUAGAAGCAUUCAAGACAGACAACAGCAUGGCAAUUACAGGUUAAAUAGGAAAUAUCAUGAGAUCAUCAAAAUACAUGGCAUGAUCAACAUAACCAUGAUAUAGCUAACACAACAUGAACAUAUUAAUCAGACAAUACUAGCAUGCAACAUGAUGACACUACAUGCACCACUUAUUCCGCUCAGGUUACCUCGUAACCGACACAUGCAUCACUUACCAACCUCGGACAUCACACAAUCAUCUCAGGAUCAAAUCAAGCUUGGUAUAAACAAUAUCGUAGUAAUCAUUAAAUGACCACAAGGAUCUCGGUUUUUACCCAUGACUCUCGCACAACAUCACGUAUAUACAAUGACUCGGUAUCCUUGAUACCACAGUGAUCCUUACGACGGUCACAACCACGACCAACACUUGGUCCCAAACCAUGAUCCUUACGGCGAUCACAACCCGACCAAUAAAUGGCCCGUGAUCCUUACGGCGAUCACAACCCGACCAAUAAAUGGCCCGUGAUCCUUACGGCAAUCACAACCCGACCAAUAAAUGGCCCGUGAUCCUUACGGCGAUCACAACCAUGGGUUGUCAUUAAUCAAGUUAUUCUUAUUACUAUUGACUCAUGGUGUACCCUACUUUCGAACUGGACCCUUAUCUAUGGGCGCGGCUAUCGAUAGAUUUAAUAUAAACUCUGCAGAGGUUAGUACACUGUACCCACACUACAGAACCCAUGGCCUCGCACUCCCAUUUAGGUGGACCAAUGGCAUUCCGACAAAACCGAUCUACUGCCAUGACACUCUCCCGGCCACUCCGACCAACUCCCCUCUGUCUUAAGUCAUGGGUGGCCCUGUGUCUAUCUCAAGACACAACGACCACCGUCGUGGACCGUCCCACUCUGGGACCCGGAUCCAAAAACUAACUCAACAACGGGCACACAAGGCUUAUGUUCGCCUAACUGAUCAGGGUAGCACGCGCCCAUAACCUUCCCUUGUUGGAGGCACCGGCGAGAGACACGACAAUAGAGCCAGUUAGGACUGUCCCAUACCGGUAAGCGUGGUUGCACUUGUCAUGGCUAGCAGCUCCAAAACUCCCACAUAUUACACCCACACCUAUGCCAUCAACCACCCUGGCUUUCCACCCCUUCUUGUCGAGAUGCUCACCAAAGCCUUUGGCGGUAAGACUAGCCCCGAUUACCUGGUGUUCCAAUCGACACCUGUCCCUCACCUUCAUCGCUUUGUUGCAAGAGUGCACAUUAGCCUAGGUCAUGCAGGAGAUAUCCAGCCUUUGGUUUUACAAGGUAGAGCCAUGCCUACCUCUGGUUUAGCCAUUUAGGCCGCUGUUGUGGAGGCCAUCCUUCACCUCCGAACCAACUUCGCGCAUGUAGCAACAAGGCGGGAGUUCUGCUUUUUUCCCACGGUGUUAAACGCAGUAAUGCAGCCUUCUUCCGUUAGCCAAGGAGAUGAUCCUGCUAUCGCUCGCCUGGUACAAUACAUCACUGCCCAGGGGAUGUUGAUUUCAAUGCUGCUUGCUGAGUUUAGAGCCAUGGACAAUAAUGUGGCAUAGCCACCUCACCUGCAUCUGGACCCCUCAUCCACCACCAUCACUGCCUUGUGUGGCACCGCAAGUCGCCACCACCGCUCCACCGCAGCAGGCAAUUACUCCACCAGCGCAAAGCGACGGAGAACCAAGCAUGGCGGAGGACCUCCCCAUGCACCAUCUUCUUCCCCACCUCGAGCCACUACCCGCGCAUUGUCUCAAGCCUGCUCGUUCCUGAUGAGAAUCACCAGGAGGAUCGACGAGCCGACCAGCGUGCCCAGCAGUGCCGCGAGGAACAGCCGUAGAGCCACCAAGAACACCUCCUCGCCGAAGGAGCUCGGCUCGAUCUUGCUCAAACCGAAGAGGUAGUAGAGUGGCAUUGUGUUUGUGUGUUGGAUGCGAGCCGCGCUACCAUUUUUAUAGCCCAACCCCAGUGUACGGUGAGCAGAGUCCAGGAAAAUUGCCCGUCACUCGAUCACUGGCAUCCAGGAGGCGAAUCUGCGAGCAGUGCCGACAAGGUGCUGGCCUGCGACGCGAGUGCUGGCUGCACCGGCGCCGUGCACGCCACGCACUACGGCACUAGGGUCUGCAUCGCCCUAGGAUCUAGAUGUACCCUGCGUCAAGCCGCACGCGAAGCAACAGCAUAGACAAAGCAGUUAGCCGGAGAUAGAAGAAGGAGGCUGCCAGUGGGCCCUGGACCCACAUGUCAGCAGGUGAGUCCACUGUUCACUGGGUGCAUCUAGCAAUUUUGCGAGAGUUUGAUCUCGAGUGCCCCUAGCCGUGGAUAUAACCGUGUUUUCCCAUAUCUCUUCCUGGGUACCAAUUAUCGGUGCCCCAACUCAUUCGAAUUUUACCAAAGGGUUAGAUUUUAAUCCAGAGGUUUUUCCCGGAGUGGUUAUCUUUUCUUUGUGCUGUAACCCUAGGAAUCUCGAGGACGAGAUUCUUUUAAGGGGGGGAAGGUUUGUAACAGCCCCAAAAUUGGGUUAUCAAUUUUUGUGCUAUUAUUUCUUCCUACCACUCAUUUUUCAAAAUAUUUCUCCUGAGUUUUUCUGAUGACUCUAAGAAUUCUUGUCAUUUCCAACCUUUCAAAGCUUGCUCCUGUCUUUUUCAGUGGGCAAGACCUCAUUUGCAUCAUCUUAAACCCUCUCAAACACUAAUUCCAAAUUUUUGGGGAUUUGAAUAUGCCAUUUGUGAUUUCAAAGGGGCUAUCAUUUUCCCUGAUCUGUUGAUCACCCCAUCUAUUCCUAGAGACUCUCCUAUCCUUCUCAACCUUGGAUAUGCAAAAUUAUUGCCAAGUCCCAUGCAAUAUUUUAGAAGUAUGAUUUAUUCCUUUUCUUGCCUUUCUGAGGAAUAAAAUCCAAAGGCAUAGCUAGCCAUCGACUAAAUUCAUGUGAAUUGGUGGAGUUGAUAAUUAUGCCUAAUCCAAGCUCUGUCAAUUAUAUUGGCCAUAAUUAAAUAAGGAAAAUUGCCUUUUUCUUAUUUUAUGCCAAUAUUGCAUUUCUGCCAUUUUCUAAAGGAACUACUAUUUUUAUAGCAGAUAAAAUUCUCACAUAAAUUGUGGAGUUUGCCCUUCAUUUAUAAUCACUAGUUCCAUCUUUAUCUCAUGCUCCUCAGAUCAAAAGUUGGGCACAUGAUCCAAUGCAAGUUUCUGCCUUCUCUAAAAUGUUGCAAAGGAAGUGCUUUAUUCCUAAUUCCAUUUGAGCUGCAAAUUGACAGGGUGAUUAAUAUUGAUAAAUAACCCAUGGAUACCAAAGAUGAGCUCAAUCCAAUCAUCUUAGCUCCCUGUGCAGUUCUCCAAAGUUCCUGACUAGAUUAAAAUUUUGUGAAGGAAGUACCUUCAUAGGGAUUCCAAAUGGGAUGAAACUUUGCCAUCCUCUCAAGUAUCCCAAAUCAUUAGCUUUCACCAAAAUUCAGCUCAUUUCAUUGAGCUAUGUGAGCACAGGAAGAAUUCUUGUUCUCUGUCCAAAUUUUCAGGUUGUGAAGCAAGUAUAUUUUAUCUUGCUCCAUUAUGUCUGAAAAUAUUUCCAAGCCUUCUCCUGUCCAUAUAACCCACCUAACCAUGAGUUUGGCUAAUUUUAUUUAGCCAAUAGUUUCUUAGAAUUUUCCCAAGUUUCUGGUCCAAAGUGAUGCUUGUGAAGAAAGUACCAAUUUGGUAAGUCCAUUUGGUGUGAUCUUUUUACAGCAUCUACUUAUGACCAAAUCAUUAGGAUUUGCCAAGUUAUAGCUCAAUCCAACACCCCUAGUGAGUGCUUCAUCAUCAUUUGGUUUCUGGACAUAUUUUAGCAGUUGUUAAGCAACUAUGCUAAAUAUUUGUCCUAAUGACCUCAAAACUCCCAGGACCGUAGUCCUUGCUACCCUAAGCCUACCAUACAUCAAGUUUACCAUUUACCCUCUCUGGUUUUCUCUCCAGCAUGUUGCCAAGUUUGCAGCAGUAAACUUGUGGAGCAUGGUUUACUCAUCUCCUUUUGUCUCUAUCCAAAUAUUUACCGUAGUAAUACUCCACUCUGGAAGGACUACGUGGUAGACAUGAUUUAACCUCAGUAAAAUCUCCAGAGCGCGCCAUGCCAGUGGUGACCACGAGAGAUGCCAGCAAAAACGAUGGUCUAGCCACUGUUCUCGUCGGCAGCGCUGCUCCGACCGUCCCUGACCUCGCCAUUAUUGUCCUACAACUCCCCCUCAUCAAUGUCGUUCGCCUGGACCCCGCUCCCCCUCCGUUUGCUUCUCCGACGAGUCAUGCCAAGAGCCGAGCUGUGCGCCCGUGGCCAUCGUCUUCUUCCUCUCUUCUAUUUUCUUCCCCUUCUCGUCCGCGAGUGCCCCUCGUCUCCGUGAGCCUCUGGCGCUCGUCGUGAUCCCCCUCGUCGCCUUCCCACUACCUCCUGUGAGCCCUGGCCGCGACUGCCGACGACUGCGCCAUCGCCAAUGCACGGACACGUCACCCGCCGUGUACCAGCUCGCCCCUCCCCCUCAAGCUCCCCCGCGGCUAUAAGUAGCAAGCCCCGAGCCUUCCUUGCAGUCCCCAAUCCUCUCGCAGCUCUUCCCCUCGCCCGGAGCUUCUCUGGCCCCCUCCCCAUCGCCAUGGCCGCCGCCUCGGUCUUCUCAGGUUCCGGCAACCAGGGCAUCCCCUCGCCGUUCCUCCUCCACCACCGCUUCCCCCAUACUCUGGCAAGUCUCCCCAUGGCCUCAGCCUCUCCGUUCCCCCACCGUAGCUCCAUCCUCGCCAGAGGCCGAAGAUCCUCUCCGCCGCGGCCCCUGCUGCUCCCUCUCAAGUGUUUGUCGCCGGCAACGGAGACUACCCUGGGGUGCGCCUCCUCCUCCUGAUCCCGUGGGUAGGUCACCCGUCGCCUGCCAUGGCCGGACGCACCGGCGAGCGCCGUCGGGGCGGGCGUCUCCCCUCGGCCCGGCGCGCAUCAAGCGGAGAAGAAGGAGCCGGCCAGGUGGGCGUUGACCUGGCCAGGCGGGCCCCACGACCCCACCUGGCAGCGACCCAGACGCCGACCCCGCCUCUGCCCUUUGACCCGGUCAUUGCCACGUCAGAUUAGUGGAGGCGCCCUGCUAUGAAGCCGUUUUCCUGAUUCAAAGACGUAUUUCAGAAAAUGCGCAUUCAAAAUUAUCCUCCCGGGGCCUGCUUGCUGAAAUAUUUUCACCGAUAAGUCCCUGAACUUCAACCCUUCGUAUCUCGACAACCGUAACUCCGAUUGAGGUAAAUCCAAUGCCCAUGUCUUUGUCUCGUCGAGCCCGUUCCGUUCCCAGCAUUUUCACUAUGUUUUGACAUACUGAAAAUGACCAUUUUGCCCUUGUCCGUAAACAGCCCCCUUCGAGAGAGAACUGUUUCCGGCAAAUAUUUCCGCGGUUGUUUCUCACUUCUUCCCGGAGUAUUUGUCGACCCCCAGGCAAGCCAACCUCUUAUCAUGAGCCCUGAACUUGCAUGUUGACUUUGCUUGCACCUUGUGUGUGUGUAGUUGCAGUUGUUUCUUAUCGUUUUUGUCUGCAGUUAUUUUAUUAUGCUUACCAUGCAUGCUUGUGUGUUCAUGAUAUCUUUUACCAAGCUAGUUAGAAUGUUGUUAUUGAUGAUGCCAUGUCACUACUCUAAUUUAUUUUCAUGUCAUCGUUAUAAAAUGCUAUGAUGAUGGUAAUGCACCAUGGAUAUGUUAGUACUUGGUAUUGUCAUGUUCUGUAUGCUGUAAGUGUUCACUUGAGAACCUCGAUGUUUUGUUAAAGCAUUUGUAUGAUGUAUGCUCAUUGUUGCAUUCAUGUUCAUGAUGAUGGAGAAGGAAUUAAAAUGACUUAAUAAUAACAAACCUCCUCCUUCAUCAAUGGGAUCGAGGCAUAGUGCCGCCAAAUCAAACUUUUUCCAGUGCAACCACAUUUGCCGGUAUGGGACGGCCUUAAUGCGGACUAUUGUCGUGCCUCUGGUCGGUGCCUCCAACUAGGGAAGGUUAUGGGAGCGCGCUACCCUGAUCAGGUAGGCGGACAUAAGCCUUGUGAUCCCGUUGUUAAGUUGAGUUUUGGUACCGGGUCCCAAUGUGGAUCGUGGCCACGACGGUGGUCGAGGUGUCUGGAGGUAGACAUGGGGCCACCCAGGCGGAACAACGACGAAGGUGGUGAACUCCACUCUGCAGGGACUCUGGUUGGGACACGAUCUAGCUCGCAUGAAUGGAAACCAAGACAAGAGCCUCUGGAGCCGCCCCAUGCCGCCGUCGUCUUCGUCUCCGGCAACCUUCGCCCUCUGCCUCCGCUGGAGAGGACGAUCCCGACGCCGUCCAGUCACUCUAGCUAUGCUACAAGUACGGGCAGGUGCGCAAACUUCUCCUCUGUCGAUCCCCCCCUCUCUAUUGACUCCAAGAAGCCUCAUCGUCGGCAUGUCCUCCGGCGAAGCGCCGCCUCCCUUUGUUUCCCUCUCCCCUCCCUCUGGCCUUACUAGCGAGGCCCGCUAGUCAGCGACUCAUUAUGUGUGCGAAGGGGUAUNNNNNNNNNNNNNNNNNNNNNNNNNNNNNNNNNNNNNNNNNNNNNNNNNNNNNNNNNNNNNNNNNNNNNNNNNNNNNNNNNNNNNNNNNNNNNNNNNNNNNNNNNNNNNNNNNNNNNNNNNNNNNNNNNNNNNNNNNNNNNNNNNNNNNNNNNNNNNNNNNNNNNNNNNNNNNNNNNNNNNNNNNNNNNNNNNNNNNNNNNNNNNNNCCAGGAACCUUCAUACAGCCACAACUUUUUAUCUAUGAGUCCAAAUGCAUUGAUUCUUUUUGCAUUGUGUUCUUUGACCAAAAAUCUAACAACACCCAAAAGAUGGGAUUUUUCCUUGUUGUCUAGAUUUUAUGGUAAUUUUCAGAAGGUUUCUUGAUGUUUCCUUUUUGUGGUUUUGAUUAUUUUCAGAAGAGCCAGCUUGUCUUGAGGAUCACCAGGAGCUUUGUGAACCUCAUCAGCACUAAGGCAAGCCACAACAACAUUUUCAUAGUGCCACUUCAAUAUUUGUGAUUUUCCUACUUGAACUUAUGAAUAUUUUUGCAUUUAAAAGCAGUUAUAUAAUGAUUAAAUUCUGUUAGAUGCUUGUCAUGUUAAAAUGCUUGAAUUACAGAAAGUUUGAAAUAAAUCUUGAUGAUAAGCUAAGAAGAACUUAGUUACAAGUAAUGAAUUAAGGAUAUGAUCAUGGAGUUUAAUAAUUAGUUUAAUUAUUAUCUUUGCAUCAUGAAAAAUGAGGAGAUUGCUAGAAAUGAUUCUGGUUUAAGUGAGGUGUGAUCUUAACCAGAGAAGUAGCAUGAGUUGAUGAUGGCUCCGUGGGAGCGUGGUUGAUUCAGUUAUUUGCAUGGUUACUUGAUGCAUGUGUUAAGUGAUGCAUAGCAUGGCAUUAUGACACCGGUUAUUUUCACAUUAAGUUGAACCUGAUAAGUAACUCAACUUGAAUAUGUUGUUGACCGGGUCAUGGUGCCGCUGAAACGAGUCUUUCCUAGUGCAACCAUAUUUGCCGGUAUGGGACGGCCUUAAUGCGUUUCAUUGUCGUGCCUCUGGUAUGUGCCUCCAUUUAGGGAAGGUUAUGGGCGUGCUGUACCCUGGCCCGGUAGGUAGGCAUAACCUUGUGAGUCCGUUGUUAAGUUAAGUUUUGGUACCGGGUCCCAGAGUGGAUCGUGGCCACGAAGGUGGUCGAGGUGUCUGGAGGUAGACACGGGGCCACCCAGGACUAGCCUGAUGGGGACUGAGUCGGAGUGGCCAGGAGAGUGUCAUAACAAUGAAAUGGUUUCGUCGGAAUGCCGUUGGUCCACCCGAAUGGGAGUGCGAGGCCAUGGGUUCCGUAGUGUGGGUACAGUGUACUAACCUCUGCAGAGUGUUUUAAUCAAUCGAUAGCCGAGUCCACGGUUAUGGACACGCUCGAAAGUAGGGCACACCAUGGGUCAACACUUAAUUUUGCACACUAAGUUUGUACUGAGGAUGGCAGUAAGGCCAUCGUGUUGAGUUGGGCCAUGAGUUGGUCGGGUUGUGAUCGCCGUAAGGAUCACGGGCCAUGAGAUGGUCGGGUAGUGAUCGCCGUAAGGAUCACAGGUUUGUUGUCGGGUUGUGAUUGCUGUAAGGAUCACGGGUUUGUUUUUGAGAUAUGCACGUUGGUGGUCCAGAAAUGAUCACGUCCGGUAAGCAAGUCUGUGGGACGAGUAUCAGUUGAGCAUAUUCACAGCAUGUUGGAUAUAUUGUUGCAUUGAUGUUAAAUGGUUAAAUGUCAUGAUAUUGUUUGUCAUUAUGUGUGUGCUUGUUGUGAGCUUGCAAGUAAAUUCAAUGUACUGACCUGGCAUGUCGUGCCAGAUUUCAGGAAAGUCUCGUUGGAAAGGAGUGUUGUCCGAGUCUAGAUCGUGUCCACAUCGGUGUCCCUGUGCUAUGGAGUUCCACUACGACAUUGUUCCGAUGUCGUAUCUCGACAACCGUAACUCCGAUUGAGGUAAAUCCAAUGCCCACGUCUUGUCUUGUUGAGCCCGUUCCGUUCCUAGCAUUUUCACUAUGGUCUGACAUACUGAAAAUGACCAUUUUGCCCCUAUCCAUAAACAGCCUGCUUCGAGAGAGAACUGUUUCCGGAAAAAAUUUCCUAGGUUGUUUCUCACUUCUUCCCGGAGUAUUUUUCGACAUGUUUGCUUGUUGAAAAGAUGGUUAUCGUUGUUCCGGUGAUGUUUAGAUUUGCAUGUUCACUUUUGUGCUAUGUUGUCUUGUACCCUGUUAUCAUGUUCUACCUGCUAGUAUUUCCUUUCAUAUGUUUAUGCUUGCUAGUAGUACAUGUUGAUGUUGGUGAUGGUCAUGCUAGUCAGUAUGCCAUGCUCAGUGGAUAUGAUUUAUU
rnacentral:lncRNA from 1 species